CCACCUUUGACAUGUAUGGAAGUUUCCAGAGAUGGAUUCGUGCUCGAAAGAGAGCCAUAACACAGGUGCUGCAUGGCUGUCGUCAGCUCGUGUCGUGAGAUGUUGGGUUAAGUCCCGCAACGAGCGCAACCCUUGUCAUUAGUUGCUACAUUCAGUUGGGCACUCUAAUGAGACUGCCGGUGACAAACCGGAGGAAGGUGGGGAUGACGUCAAGUCCUCAUGGCCCUUAUAGGUGGGGCUACACACGUCAUACAAUGGCCGGUACAAAGGGUCGCAAACCCGCGAGGGGGAGCCAAUCCAUCAAAGCCGGUCGUAGUCCGGAUCGCAGUCUGCAACUCGACUGCGUGAAGUCGGAAUCGCUAGUAAUCGUGGAUCAGCAUGUCACGGUGAAUACGUUCCC
rnacentral:rRNA from 1 species